CACUCGGCUCCCCUGCCCGCCCGCUCAGGCUGCAGUUCCCCCAACUCUGGCAGCAUCGCCCUGCCCCCCCGGAACCCACAGGAUUUCCCAUUCCCAAAUCAUGGUCAGAUGGAGGAGGAGGCCGUGAGGAAGAUGGCCCAGAAGCCCUAUGCAGACAAGGAGCUGAGGAUGGAGACCAGGGAGGACAAAUCCCCACAGCUGAACCUUAUGGAAAAGGCAUUUUAAACCAGCUCCAUGGUGCAGGAAUCCAAGGAGGAGGAAAAGCCCCAGAGAUCCCUCAUGAGGGGUUACAAAUGCAGAUCACGGUGAUCCAAAGCAGAAAGACCCACUCCGGGCCAGGGAGGUGGCCAGAGAUGCUGCUGGAGCUUAGAGCUGAGAGUCCAUGAGCAGCUUCAUGAUGGGGAGAAGCCCCACAAGUGCUCAGAAUGUGGGAAGAGCUUCAGCAAGUGAUCCUACCUGAUCCAACACUGGAGAAUCCACAUGAGGGAACAGCCCUAUGAGUGUGGGGAGUGUGGGAAGGGCUUCAAGACAAGCUCUGACCUGACUGCCCACCAGAUGAGCCACACAAAGCAGAGGCGUGCCGAUUGUGAGGAAUGCAGGAAGACAUUUAAGACUAGCUCCAGUCUCCUCAGGCAUCAGCAGAUUCAGAGGAGAGGCCCUUCCACUGACCCAACAAUGGGAAUGGCUUCAACCAAAACUCCACUGUCGUCACCCACCAGCGCAUAUAUACUAGGACGAGGCCCUACGAGUGUCCCAAAUGUGUGAAGUCCUGUUCCAGAAGCUCUCACUUUACCCUACACCAAUGAAGGCACCACUAAGGGAAGCCCUGCAAAUCAAGUGCAGGAAGAGCUUCAUGUGCUGCUCCAGCUCCAUCCCCCGUGGCAGGAUCUGUGCUGGAUGUUCCUGUGGCCCCCAGUGGGCAGAGCAUUGCUGGUCCAUGGUGCCCAUGAUCUAUGUUAGAAAUACACCUGGCUGGGUGGCUCCACAUCCUCCUGGCUCCCCAUGGGCACCUGGACAUAUCCACAGAUCAACAUCAGAAAUCCAUUGUGAAGAGCACGUUUGUCGACUUCUGACCCGAGAAAAAUCUCACUCUUUGCAUCUUCUGGUGGUAUCAAGCAACACUGAAUGGCCUUGGAGGUCUUCUCCAAUAGAAAUCCAUCAUUUUAAUCCUUUCUGGCUCAUGGGCAUCUUCCACAGCCAAAUGGGAACAUACUGGGGCAAACCCCACAAUUUUGGAGAUGGUGGGGUGGAAACCCCUUCAAAAAGGGUUCUUCCCACCCAGCCAAGCAUGUGGAUGCUUUGCCAGCAGGGACACAUAAAUUCUUUUGUUUUGGCCUUGAAACAAAAAGGUUUCUGUUCAUUCCUUUGAAAGCCCUGUAACUGGGGUUAAAAAUAACGACAAGGAACUAAGACAUGGGUGGGGCCAUGGGGGGAGAUGGAUGAGGAUGUGAGGAACAUGGAUGGGGACAUUGCGAAGUGCUGUCCAAUGCAGGUACUGCCACCACAUCCCCACUAUCACCACCACAGUGCACCAGCCAGAUGUCAUCACCCAGCAGGGCAGGAGGUGGAACUUGUUCGGCUGUUGACAAGUGGCCCGGAGGUGAGUGACAGUCACCAGGGCGUCCUAGGGACUCCACGCUCAGAGGACCCCAAUGGCCCAAGGUACAGCACAAGGGUCAGUGCCACCCACAGUGUCAUGUGGCCCCAUGCUACAUGUCACCAGGGGUGUCCUGGUGACAUUGUCCCCCUGCUAUCUGUCCUGGUGGCAUCAUGUCCUUUCCCCUCUGUAUGUCCAAAUUCCCUACCAUAUCUUCCUCUCGCCUUCCAUGUGUCCCCUGCCCCCAGUGGGGCCAAAAACCAUGAGGUCCUGGGCUGUCUGAGGGGACCCAUCCUGUAGUGUCCCUGUGUCCCUCAAUGUGUGCCCAUGUCCCUCAGGAUGUCCCCAUGGCUGCUUCUGGCACGGAGCAUCUGCACUCACCCUGGCACAGGUAGGAAAACACUGUAACACCCCAUGACAUCCUUGUCCUCUGAUUUUAGGUCCUUCUCCCCUCCAUUUUCAGUCCUUUUCCCCUUUUUUGGGUUCAGUGCCCCCUAUUUUGAGUCUUUUCUGUGCUUGUUUGGAUUCUUUCCAUCCUUUACCCCAAUUUUAUGCACCCUCGCCUUCACUUUGGCACAUUUUUGGGUGCAUCCCUCCCUUCCAACCCCCUCCGCACCUUUUAGGCGCCCCUCACUCCCCUACACCCCAACUCCCUUCCCCACAGACAUCUCCCCAGCUGUGUCCCCAACUGUCCCCCUAUGCCACAUGGACUCAGUGCUCACCAUCCUGGAUACCCUUGAGUCCCCGGCCUGGGACUGUGGAUUUCCUCUUCCAAGAGAUUCAGAGCUGGACCGGCUGCCAGGGGAUGCCGAUGGCACCAGAGCUCAGGGUGGGUGGCCUGGUGAGGUUGGUGGGAGGGGGUUUGGGGUCAUCUUGGGACUGACCAGGGGCUUGUCCACUCUGCAGUGAGAAGCAGCCCUGGCCAGGGAGUCUGGGAUGGAUGGGGGCAGGAGAGAUUGGACACUGGUGGACACUUGAUGGACACCUGAGUCAUGGAUCCCAGCUUGACACUUGUCUGGAUAGCUCUUGGCCCUGCAGCCCCCCAGCCUAGGCAGCUCCGAGCCCAGAUAACCACCAGCCUUGAUACACACCUUGGGUGUGUAUCACCUAACUGGCCCACCAGCCCAUCCCAGUAGCCCCAACCCCAAAACCCCCCAAAACAAACCCAAUUCCAGAACAUCAAUUCUGGAUGCUCCCUGCAGAGUGAGGGGGAAACUGAGGCACGGGAUGAGGUGAUGGGAGGAGACUUUGAGACUCACCCUGGAGACCCCAAAACGAGCACCCACCCCCCAAAUUGUCACUGCAGCAUCUCAGGCCCCCCAGCUGUCACACUGGGGCGACUCCAGGAGCCACUGCAACCCCAGGCCCCUCGAGGGGUGACCUGUGGUGUCCCUCUGGUGUCACUGGCGAGUCCCCAGCAGAAGCAACAUCACCUCCUCAGCAGGAGGAAGACGAGAAGGAGGUGAGGAUGUGACUGAAACUCCUGCCCGUUCACAUGGGGAGGUCGCCACACGAACGGGGGCCAAGCACAGGUGGAGCAGCGGAGGUACCAUGGGGACUGGGGGGGGACAUGGGGACAGUCCCCAAGGUCCCCUCAGGGGAUGCUGUGGUGGGGGCGGGGGGGAGGGGGUGCAGGGUGGAGCAGCAUCUUCAGGGGGAUGUGGGGAGAUGGAAAUGGCUGGGAGUGACCCCAGAAAUGUUUUCACCACCUCCUCCUGUAACAUGUGGGCCGCCCCCUUCUUUGGGGUGCUGGUAACAAAUUGGCAGAUGGCGGUGACAAAAAGCGCAGGUGCCACCUCGGGGAUUGCACAGAGAGAGGGUCCUGCAGCAUGACCAAGACCCCCCUGACUGAGGGGCACCC